GACAGAGGAUGCAAGCGUUAUCCGGAAUGAUUGGGCGUAAAGCGCGCGUAGGCGGCCCUGUAAGUCCGUUGUGAAAGUCAAAGGCUCAACCUUUGAAAGCCGAUGGAUACUGCAGGGCUAGAGUCCGGAAGAGGCGAGUGGAAUUCCUGGUGUAGCGGUGGAAUGCGCAGAUAUCAGGAGGAACACCAAUAGCGAAGGCAGCUCGCUGGGACGGUACUGACGCUAAGGCGCGAAAGCGUGGGGAGCGAACAGG
rnacentral:rRNA from 1 species